UACGAAGGUCCCAAGCGUUAUCCGGAUUUAUUGGGUUUAAAGGGUGCGUAGGCGGGCUAUUAAGUCAGUGGUGAAAGCCCCAAGCUUAACUUGGGAACUGCCAUUGAUACUGAUGGUCUUGAGUACAUUUGAGGUGGGCGGAAUGUGUCAUGUAGCGGUGAAAUGACUUAGAUAUGACACAGAACACCGAUUGCGAAGGCAGCUCACUAAACUGUAACUGACGCUGAGGCACGAAAGCGUGGGGAGCAAACAGG
rnacentral:rRNA from 1 species